AUCCAGCUGACGAGUCCCAAAUAGGAGAGAACACACGUCCUGGAU
rnacentral:hammerhead_ribozyme from 1 species